rnacentral:rRNA from 1 species
CCUACGGGAGGCAGCAGUGGGGGAUAUUGCACAAUGAGGGAAACCUUGAUGCAGCGACGCCGCGUGCGUGAAGAAGUUUUUCGGUAUGUAAAGCGCUGUCAGCAGGGAAGAAAAUGACCAUACCUGACCAAUCACCCCCUGCUAACUCCGUGCCAGCAGCCGCGGGAAUACGGUGUGCGAAAGCGUUAUCCGGAUUUACUGGGGGGAAAGGGAGCGGAGAAGUUUAUGUAAAUCUGGAGUGAAAGCCCGGGGCCCAACCCCGGGACUGCUUUGGAAACUGGGGAACUGGAGUCUAGGAGGGGCAGGCGGAAUUCCUGGUGAAGCGGUGAAAUGCGUAGAUAUAAGGAGGAACACCGGCGGCGAAGGCGGCCUGCUGGAUUGAAACUGACGUUGAGGGUCGAAAGCGUGGGGAGCAAACAGGAUUAGAUACCCUGGUAGUC